CAUAUUUCAUAUUGGAAAAGUAUUUGUGCUAGUGAAUUUGUUUUAGAUGUUCUUGAAAAUGGAUAUUUCAUUCCUUUCAUUUCUACUCCUCCCAGAACAGUUCAUAAAACAAUAAGUCAGUGUUAGACAAUGAACUUUUUGUUACGGAAGCAAUAUCAGAUCUUUUAAAUAAUAAAUGUGUAACUCAAGUUAAACUUAGGCCCCAUGUACUUAAUCCGUUAAGAGUUUCGACUAACAAAUAAGGGAAGAAAAUACUGAUUUUAGAUUUACGAG
rnacentral:lncRNA from 1 species